UACGAAGGGGGCUAGCGUUGCUCGGAAUCACUGGGCGUAAAGCGCACGUAGGCGGACUCUUAAGUCGGUGGUGAAAUCCUGGAGCUCAACUCCAGAACUGCCUUCGAUACUGAGAGGCUUGAAUCCGGGAGAGGGAUGCGGAAUUCCAGGUGUAGCGGUGAAAUGCGUAGAUAUCUGGAGGAACACCGGUGGCGAAGGCGGCAUCCUGGACCGGCAUUGACGCUGAGGCGCGAAAGCCAGGGGAGCAAACGGG
rnacentral:rRNA from 1 species